UACAGAGGUCUCAAGCGUUGUUCGGAUUCAUUGGGCGUAAAGGGUGCGUAGGCGGCGCGGUAAGUCGGGUGUGAAAUCUCGGGGCUUAACUCCGAAACUGCCAUUGAAACUGUUUAGCUUGAGGACGAGAGAGGUGAGUGGAAUUCCCAGUGUAGAGGUGAAAUUCGUAGAUAUUGGGAAGAACACCGGUGGCGAAGGCGGCUCACUGGCUCGUUUCUGACGCUCAGGCGCGAUAGCGUGGGGAUCAAACAGG
rnacentral:rRNA from 1 species